UACAGAGGUCUCAAGCGUUGUUCGGAUUCAUUGGGCGUAAAGGGUGCGUAGGCGGCGCGGUAAGUCGGGUGUGAAAUUUCGAGGCUUAACUUCGAAACUGCAUUCGAUACUGCCGUGCUUGAGGACUGGAGAGGAGACUGGAAUUUACGGUGUAGCAGUGAAAUGCGUAGAGAUCGGGAGGAACAUCAGUUGCGAAGGCGGCUCUCUGGACCAGCACUGACACUGAGGCACGAAAGCGUGGGGAGCAAACAGG
rnacentral:rRNA from 1 species